rnacentral:misc_RNA from 1 species
GAUGAAGAACGUAGCGAAAUGCGAUAAUUAAUGUGAAUUGCAGAAUUCCGUGAAUCAUCGAGCCUUUGAACGCACAUUGCGCCUCAUGGCAUUCCGUGAGGCAUGCCCAUCUCAGCGUUAGAAAAUAUUCUCAAAUUUUAGUUUUGUGCUGAAAUUUGGAUCAUGUCAAAGAAGCUAUUACUAUUAUUGUGAUCGCUCUUUGGAAAUUGAUAGGUCUUUGAGUUGCUACUCAUAGAACGUGAUGAAUCUUUCUUCGUUCUAUUGUAAUUCACUCUGGUAGUCCUAAAACUUGUAUGCCUGUGGCAUAUCUUGUAAUUUGACCUGAGAUUGGGUAGGGAUACCCGCUGAACUUAAGCAUAUCAAUAAGCGGAGGA